rnacentral:tRNA from 1 species
AGGGGCGUCGCCAAGUUGGUAAGGCAUCAGGUUUUGAUCCUGACAUCCGUUGGUUCGAGUCCAGCCGUCUCUGCCA